UACGUAGGGGGCUAGCGUUGUCCGGAAUCAUUGGGCGUAAAGAGCGUGUAGGCGGUCCGGUAAGUCCGCUGUGAAAGUCGGGGGCUCAACCCUCGAAUGCCGGUGGAUACUGUCGGGCUAGAGUGCGGAAGAGGCGAGUGGAAUUCCUGGUGUAGCGGUGAAAUGCGCAGAUAUCAGGAGGAAUACCGGUGGCGAAGGCGGUGAUCUGGGCCGACACUGACGCUGUAGAGCGAAAGCGUGGGGAGCGAACAGG
rnacentral:rRNA from 1 species